rnacentral:rRNA from 1 species
ACGGGGGAUGCAAGCGUUAUUCGGAAUUAUUGGGCGUAAAGGGCGCGUAGGCGGUUUUAAAAGUCAGGUGUGAAAGCCCGGGGCUUAACCUCGGAAGAGCAUUUGAAACUAUAAGACUUGAGUACGGUAGAGGAAAGCGGAAUUCCUGGUGUAGAGGUGAAAUUCGUAGAUAUCAGGAGGAACACCGGUGGCGAAGGCGGCUUUCUGGGCCUGUACUGACGCUGAGGCGCGAAGGCGUGGGUAGCGAACAG